rnacentral:miRNA from 1 species
UCGGUGGGUGUAGUUGUUGGAGG